GGAUGAGCUGUGGAUAGGGGUGAAAGGCUAACAAACCUGGAAAUAGCUGGUUCUCUCCGAAACUAUUAGGUAGUGCCGUCGUGUCUCACCUUCGGGGGUAGAGCACUGUCAUGGUUGGGGGGUCUAUUGCAGAUUACCCCGCCAUAGCAAACUCCGAAUACCGAAGAGUGCAAUCACGGGAGACAGACAUCGGGUGCUAACGUCCGGUGUCAAGAGGGAAACAACCCAGACCGCCAGCUAAGGUCCCCAAAUAUAGCUAAGUGGGAAACGAAGUGGGAAGGCUAAAACAGUCAGGAGGUUGGCUUAGAAGCAGCCACCUUUAAAGAAAGCGUAAUAGCUCACUGAUCGAGUCGUCCUGCGCGGAAGAUGUAACGGGGCUAAGCUAUAUACCGAAGCUGCGGAUGCGUGCUUAGCACGCAUGGUAGGAGAGCGUUCCGUAAGCCUGCGAAGGUGCCUUGUAAAGGGUGCUGGAGGUAUCGGAAGUGCGAAUGCUGACAUGAGUAGCGAUAAAGGGGGUGAAAGGCCCCCUCGCCGUAAGCCCAAGGUUUCCUACGCAACGUUCAUCGGCGUAGGGUGAGUCGGCCCCUAAGGCGAGGCAGAAAUGCGUAGCUGAUGGGAAGCAGGUCAAUAUUCCUGCACCAUUGUUAGAUGCGAUGGGGGGACGGAUCGCGGAAGGUUGUCCGGGUGUUGGAAGUCCCGGUCGCUGCAUUGGAGAAGGCGCUUAGGCAAAUCCGGGCGCAGGAUUCAAGGGUGUGGCGCGAGCUCCCUAGGGAGCGAAGCAAUUGGAAGUGGUUCCAAGAAAAGCCUCUAAGCUUCAGUCUAACGAUGACCGUACCGCAAACCGACACAGGUGGGCGAGAUGAGUAUUCUAAGGCGCUUGAGAGAACUCGGGAGAAGGAACUCGGCAAAUUGGUACCGUAACUUCGGGAUAAGGUACGCCCUUGUAGCUUGACUGGCCUGCGCCAGGAGGGUGAAGGGGUUGCAAUAAACUGGUGGCUGCGACUGUUUAAUAAAAACACAGCACUCUGCAAACACGAAAGUGGACGUAUAGGGUGUGACGCCUGCCCGGUGCCGGAAGAUUAAAUGAUGGGGUGCAAGCUCUUGAUUGAAGUCCCGGUAAACGGCGGCCGUAACUAUAACGGUCCUAAGGUAGCGAAAUUCCUUGUCGGGUAAGUUCCGACCUGCACGAAUGGCGUAACGAUGGCCACACUGUCUCCUCCCGAGACUCAGCGAAGUUGAAGUGUUUGUGAUGAUGCAAUCUACCCGCGGCUAGACGGAAAGACCCCAUGAACCUUUACUGUAGCUUUGCAUUGGACUUUGAACCGAUCUGUGUAGGAUAGGUGGGAGGCUAUGAAACCGGAACGCUAGUUUCGGUGGAGCCGUCCUUGAAAUACCACCCUGGUUUGUUUGAGGUUCUAACCUUGGCCCGUGAUCCGGGUCGGGGACAGUGCAUGGUAGGCAGUUUGACUGGGGCGGUCUCCUCCCAAAGCGUAACGGAGGAGUACGAAGGUACGCUAGGUACGGUCGGAAAUCGUGCUGAUAGUGCAAUGGCAUAAGCGUGCUUAACUGCGAGACCGACAAGUCGAGCAGGUGCGAAAGCAGGUCAUAGUGAUCCGGUGGUUCUGUAUGGAAGGGCCAUCGCUCAACGGAUAAAAGGUACUCUGGGGAUAACAGGCUGAUACCGCCCAAGAGUUCAUAUCGACGGCGGUGUUUGGCACCUCGAUGUCGGCUCAUCUCAUCCUGGGGCUGUAGCCGGUCCCAAGGGUAUGGCUGUUCGCCAUUUAAAGAGGUACGUGAGCUGGGUUUAAAACGUCGUGAGACAGUUUGGUCCCUAUCUGCCGUGGGCGUUGGAUAUUUGAAGGGGGCUGCUCCUAGUACGAGAGGACCGGAGUGGACGAACCUCUGGUGUACCGGUUGUCACGCCAGUGGCAUCGCCGGGUAGCUAUGUUCGGAAGAGAUAACCGCUGAAAGCAUCUAAGCGGGAAACUCGCCUUAAGAUGAGAUAUCCCUGGAGGCUAGACCUCCUUGAAGGGUCGUUCGAGACCAGGACGUUGAUAGGUCAGGUGUGUAAGCGCAGUAAUGCGUUCAGCUAACUGAUACUAAUUGCCCGUAAGGCUUGAUCCUAUAACA
rnacentral:rRNA from 1 species